AAUCCAUAGGUUAAUGAGGCGAACCGGGGGAACUGAAACAUCUAAGUACCCCGAGGAAAAGAAAUCAACCGAGAUUCCCCCAGUAGCGGCGAGCGAACGGGGAGGAGCCCAGAGCCUGAAUCAGCAUGUGUGUUAGUGGAAGCGUCUGGAAAGGCGCGCGAUACAGGGUGACAGCCCCGUACACAAAAGCGCAUGUGCUGUGAGCUCGAUGAGUAGGGCGGGACACGUGGUAUCCUGUCUGAAUAUGGGGGGACCAUCCUCCAAGGCUAAAUACUCCUGACUGACCGAUAGUGAACCAGUACCGUGAGGGAAAGGCGAAAAGAACCCCGGCGAGGGGAGUGAAAAAGAACCUGAAACCGUGUACGUACAAGCAGUGGGAGCACAGGUUUACCUGUGUGACUGCGUACCUUUUGUAUAAUGGGUCAGCGACUUAUAUUCUGUAGCAAGGUUAACCGUAUAGGGGAGCCGGAGGGAAACCGAGUCUUAACCGGGCGUUAAGUUGCAGGGUAUAGACCCGAAACCCGGUGAUCUAGCCAUGGGCAGGUUGAAGGUUGGGUAACACUAACUGGAGGACCGAACCGACUAAUGUUGAAAAAUUAGCGGAUGACCUGUGGCUGGGGGUGAAAGGCCAAUCAAACCGGGAGAUAGCUGGUUCUCCCCGAAAGCUAUUUAGGUAGCGCCUCGUGAAUUCAUCUCCGGGGGUAGAGCACUGUUUCGGCUAGGGGGCCAUCCCGGCUUACCAACCCGAUGCAAACUGCGAAUACCGGAGAAUGUUAUCACGGGAGACACACGGCGGGUGCUAACGUCCGUCGUGAAGAGGGAAACAACCCAGACCGCCAGCUAAGGUCCCAAAGUCAUGGUUAAGUGGGAAACGAUGUGGGAAGGCCCAGACAGCCAGGAUGUUGGCUUAGAAGCAGCCAUCAUUUAAAGAAAGCGUAAUAGCUCACUGGUCGAGUCGGCCUGCGCGGAAGAUGUAACGGGGCUAAACCAUGCACCGAAGCUGCGGCAGCGAACGUAUCACUUAAAGCGAUUCAGCGGAUGACGAUUGACGGAGCGAAGCGACGUCAAAGCGUAUACAAAGUCGAGUCGGUUUAAGGAUACGUUCGUUGGGUAGGGGAGCGUUCUGUAAGCCUGCGAAGGUGGCCUGUGAGGGUUGCUGGAGGUAUCAGAAGUGCGAAUGCUGACAUAAGUAACGAUAAAGCGGGUGAAAAGCCCGCUCGCCGGAAGACCAAGGGUUCCUGUCCAACGUUAAUCGGGGCAGGGUGAGUCGACCCCUAAGGCGAGGCCGAAAGGCGUAGUCGAUGGGAAACGGGUUAAUAUUCCCGUACUUGGUGUUACUGCGAAGGGGGGACGGAGAAGGCUAUGUUGGCCGGGCGACGGUUGUCCCGGUUUAAGCGUGUAGGUGUGUGUUCCAGGUAAAUCCGGUUCACUUUAACACUGAGGCGUGAUGACGAGGCACUACGGUGCUGAAGCAACAAAUGCCCUGCUUCCAGGAAAAGCCUCUAAGCAUCAGGUAACAUCAAAUCGUACCCCAAACCGACACAGGUGGUCAGGUAGAGAAUACCAAGGCGCUUGAGAGAACUCGGGUGAAGGAACUAGGCAAAAUGGUGCCGUAACU
rnacentral:rRNA from 1 species